rnacentral:rRNA from 1 species
UGCGUAGGGGGCAAGCGUUGUCCGGAAUCAUUGGGCGUAAAGCGCGUGUAGGCGGCCUUGUAAGUCCGUUCUGAAAGCCCGGGGCUCAACCCCGGGAGGCGGAUGGAUACUGCAAGGCUCGAGUACGGAAGAGGCGAGUGGAAUUCCCGGUGUAGCGGUGAAAUGCGCAGAUAUCGGGAGGAACACCAAUGGCGAAGGCAGCUCGCUGGGACGUUACUGACGCUGAGACGCGAAAGCGUGGGGAGCAAACAGG